AUUGAACGCUGGCGGCAUGCCUUACACAUGCAAGUCGAACGGUAACAGGUCUUCGGAUGCUGACGAGUGGCGAACGGGUGAGUAAAACAUCGGAACGUGCCUAGUAGUGGGGGAUAACUACUCGAAAGAGUGGCUAAUACCGCAUGAGAUCUACGGAUGAAAGCAGGGGAUCGCAAGACCUUGUGCUACUAGAGCGGCCGAUGGCAGAUUAGGUAGUUGGUGGAAUAAAAGCUUACCAAGCCGACGAUCUGUAGCUGGUCUGAGAGGACGAUCAGCCUCACUGGGACGGAGACACGGCCCGGACUCCUACGGGAGGCAGCAGUGGGGAAUGUUGGACAAGGGGCGCAAGCUUGAUCCAGCAAUGCCGCGUGCAGGAUGAAGGCCUUCGGGUUGUAAACUGCUUUUGUACGGAACGAAAAGCCCUGGGUUAAUACCCUGGGGUCAUGACGGUACCGUAAGAAUAAGCACCGGCUAACUACGUGCCAGCAGCCGCUGUAACAC
rnacentral:rRNA from 1 species